rnacentral:rRNA from 1 species
UACGGAGGGUGCAAGCGUUAAUCGGAAUUACUGGGCGUAAAGCGCACGCAGGUGGCUGAGUCAGUCGAUUGUGAAAGCCCUGGGCUUAACCUGGGAAUUGCAGUCGAUACUACUCAGCUAGAGUAUGGGAGAGGGUAGUGGAAUUCCCGGUGUAGCGGUGAAAUGCGUAGAUAUCGGGAGGAACAUCAGUGGCGAAGGCGGCUACCUGGACCGGUUCUGACGCUGAUGCGCGAAAGCGUGGGUAGCAAACAGG